GAUGAACGCUGGCGGUAUGCUUAACACAUGCAAGUCGAACGGACUCUUCGGAGUUAGUGGCGGACGGGUGAGUAACGCGUGAGAAUCUGGCUUUGGGUUCGGGACAACCACUGGAAACGGUGGCUAAUACCGGAUGUGCCGAGAGGUAAAAGAGAAAUUGCCUGAGGAUGAGCUCGCGUCUGAUUAGCUAGUUGGUGAGGUAAAGGCUCACCAAGGCAGCGAUCAGUAGCUGGUCUGAGAGGAUGACCAGCCACACUGGGACUGGGACACGGCCCAGACUCCUACGGGAGGCAGCAGUGGGGAAUUUUCCGCAAUGGGCGAAAGCCUGACGGAGCAAUACCGCGUGAGGGAAGAAGGCUCUUGGGGUGUAAACCUCUUUUCUUAGGGAAGAACAAAAUGACGGUACCUAAGGAAUCAGCAUCGGCUAACUCCGUG
rnacentral:rRNA from 1 species